rnacentral:lncRNA from 1 species
UUGAGAGAAUUCCUUAUUUGGCCCUUUCUUAAAUUCUUCUUCCCUAUUUGGCCCUAAAUAUUAUUUUUUUCCCUAUUUGACAUCUAAACUUCAUUUCCUUCCUAAUAUGGCCCUGUAGUGCAAUCUGAACACUAACGGUGUUAAAUGUGGUUGUAAAAUGACUCUUUUGCCCUUGAUGAAUUGUGGGAACAAAAGUUACUCUCUAGUGUGUGUGACAUAUUUAAGCCAAUAAAAACGUACCAGUAGCUCAAUAACUGUUGAAAGCAUCCAAAAUGGAACCAUUUUAUUUAACAGAUUGUAAUUUAAAGAAUAAAAAGAUUGGGCAGAACCUCCCCUAGAAUUUGACCAUUCUGAACACACAAUUAAGAUAUAUAUGCAUAGACAUUUUAUAACAAUGCAAUAUCAGUACUGAUCCUACAGUUUAUAUCAUAGUUGAGGUCUAGUCCAAAUACAUCACACGAUCAGGUCCAAAAGCACCUCCAGUUUCACUUAGUCUCACUUACAUCAUGUAUGUGAGAGGUAAAGUCCACAAAAAUCACAUGGCAAAGCAUAGAAGCACCUCUCAUUAGACACAGUACAUGAACAGAACACAUUAGAAUCACAAGCUGAGCCUUCUUUUGCUUCUUGUGCUCAUUGCAGGGCUAGCGGGGAUGAAAGUUUUGCUUCUUGUACUCAUUGCGGGGCUAUCAAGUGGCGCAGUAGGAAUCACAGUGGCAUCUUUCUUCUUUUUCUUAGCUUUUGCCUUCACAGGAAGGUUUUUCUCGCUGGGCAUUGGUUGGCUUGAGCUGGUUUUUAACCUGCAUCAUGCAUGUAUGGCAGCAGCGGUUAUACGGAUACAAAAUAGAAAAAACAAUGAAUAACAUGUGAAAUCAGACUAGUUGAUUACCUUUUAAAAGUUCCAGUACUAGAUUUUGGUGUAGCCUUUUCCUUUAUUGUUGUAGUUUCAAGGAUUUGGCUAUGGUUAGAAAGAAGCUAAUUAGAAUUCAAUGGAUGAAUCUCGAGCAUAAAUGUAAAAGAGAUCUCAAUGUAAAAUGACUUACGUAGGUGGAAAACACAUCCUAGUUGGUGCUUCAUCCACAUAUGGCACAAUGGUGCUCUUUACCUUCUUCUUUGGUGGCCCUCUGCAUUAGCAAUAAGAAAAGCAGUCAAUAUGUACAGUUGGUUCGAAAAUAAAUUAUACAAGAAAGAUUAAACCUAUACUACCUCACUUCCAACAUUGCAGCGAUGUCAUCUGGGUUACCCUUUUUACAAUUGUGCCAAUGAUGCCCAUAUCCCUUACAAAUAGGACAUAGGUGUUGGCCUGAUUUUCUUUUCUUCUCGCCACAGCCUUUAUACCUCUCGGUUUUAGGCCUACCAGCAGUGGCUUUUAGAAGUGGUGGAUGCAUAAAGAAUCCAUGAUCUGAUUUAGGCCAUUGGGUCUUGUCAGGCAUAGCGGGUAUUAGUUGGGCAUAUGCUGCUCUAAACUUGUUAGUGGAGUAAUACAAGUCAACAUAGUCCCGUAUAUGUGCAUUGCUAAGUGAUGUAAUGAAUGCAAGAGCAUGUUUGCAAGGAACGCCAGAAACUUGCCAUUGUCUACAAGAACAUGUCCUCUCUUGCAAGUUGACCACAAACCUAAAGCCGCUGCCUCCUAAUGCGGUCACUUCAGCCACUUCUUCCGAGCUCUGUACCACCUCCAAGUUUAAUUCUCUAGUCAUUGCAUUCAGCUUCUUAAUUAUGUGGGGCAGAAUUAGUCCAUCCAACUUCUUUCCCACAGUUCUCCUUUCGUUCCACUUGAUCAUCAAUAACUGUCGAGCCUUGUCCAUGAAGUCAUCCAAGUUCAAGGACUUGUGGUGCUUAAUCCAAUUGUUAAAACACUCUGCCAAGUUGUUGGUUACGUAGUCCACCUUGGAUAUUGUGGAGAACUGGCUCCUCGACCAUAGCCUAUUGUGCCACUUCUUUAUAUAUGCAGUUGCGGCUGGCUUUGCUGCCUCCAUUGCAACCCAAUGUUUGUCAAACAGAUACGGGUUCCAUGAGUAUGCAGCAGCCCAAAGGUGAUCAUCAAAAACCUUCCCGUGGAACUUCUUCUUGAAAUUGCUCACCAAGUGGAACAUACAUUCCCUAUGUUCAGCCUCUGGGAACACUUCUUUUACCCCUGCCAUCACUGCCUGGCCAGCAUCAGUGCAUAUGGCUAAACCAGUUGGUGAUCCUAUGGUCUGCCUAAGCAUUUGCAUAAACCAAAUCCAAUUUUCAUUUGUUUCGGAAUCAAAAAUUCCAAAACUAACUGGAUACAUCCAAUUAUGCCCAUCAACAGCGGUAGCACUAGCCAGCUGCCCCUUAAACUUUCCCGUCAAGAAUGUGCUAUCUACUGCCAAAUAUGGUCUACAACCAUUAAUGAACCCAUCUAUGCAAGGUUUCAAAGCAAUAAAAAUUCUUCUAAACCUGAUUUUACCAUUUAUUGUUUGAUGUUCACUCUGCACUGUGCUACCAGGAGAACAACUUUCAACUUGUGCCUUAAACCUAUAUAAGUUGUCAAAGCUGCUAUCCCAAUCACCAUAUAGUUGCUUCAAAGCUAGCAGCUUACCCAUAUAUACUCUCUUGUAAUGGAGUUUGACCUUGUAAUGUUCUUUAAGCUUCUGCUGCAAUGCCGUGGCUCCGAGAGUUGCAUCUUCAAUGAGCCAAUCCUUGACCUUCUCACAUAUCCAAUGCUUAGUUGCAUUCUUCACUUUCUUUUUCCUUGUUGUACUAGAGCAAUCAUGAUCACAAGGGUUUUUUCUCACCUACCAAACAAGAAUACAAUUAAUUAGUUUCAAACACUUACACAAUAUGAAACAAUGAAACAAUGUUCACAAUGAAACAAUGUAGGAUGAGAGUUAGACCAUUACCACUACAGUGCACAUAUCAUCUGUUGUGGAAGCAUAUAUCCUCCAUGGGCAUUUAUCUUCAUCCCUUCUUCUACAAUAGGCCCUAAACCUAUGUUGUGCACUUUUCUGAAUGUUGUAUUCAAAUUCAUAUUUGACUGCAUGCUGAGAAAGGGCCAACUUAAACUCAGCCAUAUUGGGAUACUUGGAACCUUCGGCCAUUGGAGGGUCUUCUUUAUUGUACUCUACAGUUGGCGCAUGCUCUGCCUCAUGCACCUCCUCGUCCUCCUCUAUUUCAGGCUCAUCCUCCUCUAUCUCACACUCAUCCUCGCUGCCAUACUCACUGUCAUCCUCGGGAACAUAUUCAGUGUCCUUGUCAUUAUCAAAAAAAAGAACCACAUUUA